UCCAUGAGUUCAUCUGACUCUGGGUAAGUAGAACAAAAAUGGAAUUGCCAAGAUGUCGCACGAUCCUAUCAUAGGGUGUAAUGUAUAGAGGGUAUAAACCUGAUGCCAGUGUCACUGGUGUGUUUUAGGGUUCUUUAUAUUUCUGUUCCAUUGUCUGAUGAAGGAGAAUGUGAGAAAACAAUGGAGAAUCCAUUUGUGCUUUGGCCGCUUCAGACUCCAAGACUACUCUGAGUGGAGCCAGACUUUUACAGUUGGUGCCAAAUCCAGACCUAACCCUCUGGUGCGCAUGCCCUCAGUGAGGUCCAUCAAGUCCAGUGCCACAGAAAGCACCUCGGCCUCCUCCGACUCCAGUCAACGACAGGUCUCCAUCAGAAGACCUAACUUGGACCUUGUGUAUGAGAAUGACUUGGCACUACCACUUGUCCAACGCAACUCCACUCCUCUACCUCACAAGAGUGCCUCUUUCCCAGAGGAGGGGCACUGCGAGGGGCCCUCUUGGCAAGACGGAUCUCACCCAAGACAUCGGCUACCCAUUCCUUAAGACCUUUGAAAUUCGGCAAGGAGGAACACAUUCAUUUGUGCUAAAUGGAUGAAUAGAGAAACAAAGAUUGUAACUUGUGCAAUCUGAAAUAUCAGACAAGGCUUGGUUCUGUGUAACAUGGCAUCUUUCGCUUUGACCUCAAUCUGGGACAUGAAUGCACUUGUAUGGUAAAGCAACAUUUAGGACAUAAUAUGAAUGGUGUUUUUAAUUUCUACUUACUUUUGGAGCUAAUUAAAAUGAAGUUCUUUGUGAUGAUAUAUCUGAUGAAUAAUGUCCUGUCCAUCUUCACUGAUCUAUUUAUUGUACUGAAGGUGUGACAAAUUAGACUAGUAUGCAUGUGUGCA